UCAAUGGCAAGUGCAGUUGAAGAAUUUCAAGCAAACCUCGAGGCUCUGGUGGCUCUAUCAAACAAAGAGGUGGGUCAUUAUCUCUUUUUCUUCAUUUCCUACGAUUCUUUUGAUGGAAAUAGAAAAUGAAGCCUGGGUUGCUUUCAGCUCUAGUUUGUAUGUCCUGUGUUUUGUUUGUUCAAGUUGAGAUGCUCAAGGCACUGCAUAUCAAGCUUUCCUCAGAAGCUGGUGCUGUAAUUAUUUCCCCAAAGGAAGUUAAAAAAUAGAAAAUCUGAUGAAGAUGAUAUGUAGUUUGAGAUGUUUAACGAUGUGGCAGUCACUUGGAGGAGAAAUAUCUUCUAACAGUAUAUUCUUUUUAAAAAUUUUAGAUCUUUCUUCCAGUACCCAAGGGGCAAUUUCAGUGCAGUAAUGUUCCUUGUCAACUUGAAAGUACCAUAGAAGGAUUGAAAAGGAUUUCGUUUAAGAAUAAUUCAGCAAGAACCCAUAUUUCUCUGAUGGAGGCAAACAUGAAUCACAUAACAUCAACUUUAAAGAAAACACAUACACAAACCAAGAACACCAUAUCCUGUCUGAUGAGAGACCUGCCCCAAGAGAGAGCCCUGAAACGCUUCACAAGAUACUUCCAGGAGGUGCAUGAGAACUGCUGGGAGUCCUGAUGACAGGUGUUGGCACCCAGACACUUGAGACAACUCUCAUCCAACACUAGAGCUGCUUCUGAUGGAAGACAGAGCACCACAGA